rnacentral:tRNA from 1 species
GUGCUUGUAGCUUAAUUGGUGAAGCGCCAAACUACGGAUUUGGAGAUUGAGAGUUCGAGUCUUUCCAAGCAUG